AAGGUCGCACUUACGCAUAUUUGCUUUGCGUAAGUGCGUUUAUCACUUGUUACCGAUGAUGAUACGCUUACCACCUUACGAAAACACAGAAAAUUAGCAACUUAAAAGAAAUAUUCGUGUUUCAACGGAAACAUUGAAUCAUUCGAAAUCUCAACCCGUUUUGAGUGAAAGAAAAGGUGAUAUCAUAAAAAAGCCAGAUCAUCAACAAUAAAUUAAUCAUUUUGAUAUUUGGAGAAACGCAAUGAUGACAAACCAAUAGUUAACAUGUUUGCAUUGCGCCCUACAUGUUUGCUUUACGUGUAGCUUAAGCAGAAAGACAAAUAACUAUGACGUAACAAACAAACAAGACCGGGAAUCCCCCUCCUAGCAGUACCCUUUCCCGUACACGUGAUUGCGAUGAAGAAGAUAAAUAAUGUUGGAUUCGUUAUUUGGGGUCAUGGGGGUCAUAAAAAGAUUUGUGAAAAAAAACAAAAAAACAAAGAAGAUAACUGCUACAUGGUUUCCAGCUCCAGCCAUUACCGGAAUCACAGCACGGAAGAGUCUUAAUUUGGGAGGAAAGUGGAGUACCCGGAGAAGAACCCACUUGGUUAGGUAGGUGACCCCUUACCUUUUCAACUCC